AGGUGGAGCCCAGGAUUCUACCACAAUGGGGCAGCUGGCAGAUGGCACUCUGAGGGAGAUCCCCAGGGUAACAGCCAUGGGCCUUCAUGAGGGCUGGGUACUGAGUGCAGGGACCAGAGAAGGCCCAGGCAGAGGACAGGACUACGUGGGCCAGGAACAUUGGGACUGCUUCUGCCUACAAGAGGACACAAGACACCUGCUGCCCUUCUCCUGGAAGUUCAAGUCAAGUUUCCACCCUGGGGGCAGAUUAAGUCCAAGACAGACCAAGUGUGCUGUGAGGUUCCUGAGGGGACUGAGCCCUGGCCUGAGGCAGUGGGGCCACUUCUGCUGCUAAACCUGGCCUUGGGCACUCAUGGCCCACUGUCCCCAGUGCAGCAUCAUCAAGCAGAGCCCCAGCAGGAAGAAGCCUAAGGGCGUGGAGACCAUCAAGCCCUCCAAACAGAGCAACAACAAGUACGCGGCCAGCAGCUACCUGAGCCUAUCAUCUGACCAGUGGAAAUCUCGCAGCAGAUUUACCUGCAAGGUCAUGCAUGAGGGGAGCACCGUGGAGAAGAAUGUGGUCCCCGCAGAAUGCUCUUAGGUCCCCAAGACUGUCAGGGAUGGGAGUCUUCCUCAUCCAGACACUGCUUCCCAAGCUCACCAGGUAACCCUGAGAACCAAUCCCUGGAUCGGUUCAGACCAGGAAGGUCACACACCCUUCCUGUUUCUACUUGUGCUCAAUAAAAAACUUAUCAUUUAUCAUUCAA